rnacentral:rRNA from 1 species
GUAAUACCAGAUGAUAUACCCUGGUCGCCUGAUCGGGGUCUCAAAGGUCCGCCGGUCUGGGAGCGGGCGAUUUCGUAUCAGCUAGUUGGUGAGGUAACGGCUCACCAAGGCGACGACGCGUAGCCGGACUGAGAGGUUGGCCGGCCACAUUGGGACUGAGACACUGCCCAGACUCCUACGGGGGGCUGCAGCAACGAAUCUUCCGCAAUGCUCGAAAGAGUGACGGAGCGACGCCGCGUGUGGGACGAAGCCCUUCGGGGUGUAAACCACUGUCAGGGGACAGAAAGAUCUGAUCGUCCCCAGAGGAAGGCACGGCUAACUCUGUGCCAGCAGCCGCGGUAAGACAGAGGUGCCAAGCGUUAGGCGGAAUCACUGGGCUUAAAGCGUGUGUAGGCGGGUGCCUAAGUACCUUGUGAAAUCCCACGGCUCAACCGUGGAACUGCUGGGUAUACUGCGGUGCCUUGGGUCAUCUAGGGGCUGCCGGAACAAAUGGUGGAGCGGUGAAAUGCGUAGAUAUCAUUUGGAACGCCAACGGCGAAAGCAGGCAGCUGGGGAUGCACCGACGCUGAGACACGAAAGCCAGGGGAGCGAACG